rnacentral:misc_RNA from 1 species
AGCAGCCGCGGUAAUUCCAGCUCCAAUAGCGUAUAUUAAAGUUGUUGCAGUUAAAAAGCUCGUAGUUGAAUUUCGGGAUCAAUAUAUCGGUCGUGCCUUGGUACGUACUGGUAUCAUUGGUUUCUCCUUUCUGACGAACCAUGAUGUCAUUAAUUUGGUGUUAUGGGAAGUUAGGACUGUUACUUUGAAAAAUUAGAGUGUUUAAAGCAGGCUUUGGCUUGAAUACAUUAGCAUGGAAUAAUGAAAUAGGACGUUCGAACCUAUUUUGUUGGUUUCUAGGAUCAACGUAAUGAUUAAUAGGGAUAGUUGGGGGCAUUAGUAUUCAAUUGUCAGAGGUGAAAUUCUUGGAUUUAUUGAAGACUAACUACCGCGAAAGCAUUUGCCAAGGAUGUUUUCAUUAAUCAAGAACGAAAGUUAGGGGAUCGAAGACGAUCAGAUACCGUCGUAGUCUUAACCAUAAACUAUGCCGACUAGGGAUCGGAUGAUGUUAAUUUUUUAAUGACUCAUUCGGCGCCUUACG